rnacentral:rRNA from 1 species
AGAGUUUGAUCCUGGCUCAGAUUGAACGCUGGCGGCGUGCCUAACACAUGCAAGUCGAGCGGUAACAGGCGUAGCAAUACGUGCUGACGAGCGGCGAACGGGUGAGUAACGCUUCGGAAUCUGCCCAAUGGUGGGGAAUAACCAGCCGAAAGGUUGGCUAAUACCGCAUGAGCCCUACGGGGGAAAGCGGGGGAUCGCAAGACCUCGCGCCGAUGGAUGAGCCGAAGCCGGAUUAGCUAGUUGGUAGGGUAACGGCCUACCAAGGCGACGAUCCGUAGCUGGUCUGAGAGGACGACCAGCCACACUGGGACUGAGACACGGCCCAGACUCCUACGGGAGGCAGCAGUGGGGAAUAUUGGACAAUGGGGGAAACCCUGAUCCAGCGACGCCGCGUGUGUGAAGAAGGCCUGCGGGUUGUAAAGCACUUUUAGUGGGGAUGAAAAGCUCAGGGCUAACACCUCUGGGUCUUGACCUAACCCACAGAAAAAGCACCGGCUAACUCUGUGCCAGCAGCCGCGGUAAUACAGAGGGUGCAAGCGUUAAUCGGAAUUACUGGGCGUAAAGCGUACGUAGACGGUUGGAUAAGUCGGAUGUGAAAGCCCCGGGCUCAACCUGGGAAUGGCAUUCGAGACUGUGCAGCUAGGGUGCGGAAGAGGGAAGCGGAAUUUCCGGUGUAGCGGUGAAAUGCGUAGAUAUCGGAAGGAACACCAGUGGCGAAAGCGGCUUCCUGGUCCAGCACCGACGUUCAGGUACGAAAGCAUGGGGAGCAAACAGGAUUAGAUACCCUAGUAGUCC